rnacentral:rRNA from 1 species
AUUGAACGCUGGCGGCAGGCCUAACACAUGCAAGUCGAACGGUAACAGGAAACAGCUUGCUGUUUCGCUGACGAGUGGCGGACGGGUGAGUAAUGUCUGGGAAACUGCCUGAUGGAGGGGGAUAACUACUGGAAACGGUAGCUAAUACCGCAUAACGUCGCAAGACCAAAGAGGGGGACCUUCGGGCCCCUUGCCAUCGUAUGUGCCCAGAUGGGAUUAGCUAGUAGGUGGGGUAACGGCUCACCUAGGCGACGAUCCCUAGCUGGUCUGAGAGGAUGACCAGCCACACUGGAACUGAGACACGGUCCAGACUCCUACGGGAGGCAGCAGUGGGGAAUAUUGCACAAUGGGCGCAAGCCUGAUGCAGCCAUGCCGCGUGUAUGAAGAAGGCCUUCGGGUUGUAAAGUACUUUCAGCGGGGAGGAAGGGAGUAAAGUUAAUACCUUUACUCAUUGACGUUACCCGCAGAAGAAGCACCGGCUAACUCCGUG